UCAAGAUGUACAGCCCACUACUUUUAUCCAUAUGAAACUUUUUUAACUUUCAUAUGGAUAAAAGUAGUGGGCUGUACAUCUUGAG